rnacentral:ribozyme from 13 species
AGGAAGAAAAGAAAAGAAAAAAGAAAAAAUAGAAGCAGAUUUAUUGUUUGUUUCUUUUGGUCCGAGCCUUUCUUUCUUCUCUUCUUCUUUCUUC